GGGGAAUAUUGGACAAUGGGCGCAAGCCUGAUCCAGCCAUACCGCGUGGGUGAAGAAGGCCUUCGGGUUGUAAAGCCCUUUUGUUGGGAAAGAAAUCCAGCUGGCUAAUACCCGGUUGGGAUGACGGUACCCAAAGAAUAAGCACCGGCUAACUUCGUGCCAGCAGCCGCGGUAAUACGAAGGGUGCAAGCGUUAAUCGGAAUUACUGGGCGUAAAGCGCGCGUAGGUGGUUGUUUAAGUCUGUCGUGAAAGCCCUGGGCUCAACCUGGGAAUUGCGAUGGAAACUGUGCGACUAGAGUGUGGCAGAGGGUAGUGGAAUUCCUGGUGUAGCAGUGAAAUGCGUAGAGAUCAGGAGGAACAUCCGUGGCGAAGGCGACUGCCUGGGCCAACACUGACACUGAGGCACGCAAGCGUGGGGAGCAAACA
rnacentral:rRNA from 1 species